AAUCACGCAUAUUUUUAUAAAAAAAUUAUAAUUGUGUUAUAAUUUCGAGCUCGUAAAUAGUAUUUAAGUUAAUACAAUACCUUCAUACAUAAAAUAAAAAUUAUUAAAAACAGUUUUAAAAAUAGUAAUUUAGACUUUUAUAAAGGAGAAUAACCAAAUGACAGUCUCAAAUAUGCAUGUUCGAAUUCGGUCAUGGACUCAUCUAUUUUUUGAACGAGAGAUUAACUCAGUUUUUAAAUUACCAUUCUUUUCUGCGAUGACGUACCAGGAGCAGAUUUAGAAUGUUAUUAUAAGCAGUGCUAAGAAAUAAAUUUUGUUCGAGUUGCAUUCUAUUUGAAAUUUUUGGCUCAUAAAUGUUUUUUGAUAAGAUAUCUUAUCAAAAAACAAUUAUUCUUAACUGAUUGUUUGAUAUGAACAUAAAAUGAUUGUUGUUAAAUAUCCUUUUUUCAAUUCAACGAAAUAAUGUAUAAGUCUAGGAUCUUACUCUGGAAACAAUGAAGGAAAAAGUGGCUGGUCUGCAUGACCAAUCUAAAAAACUGAAAGGUGAUGUUGUUUUUGUGUAGUGGUUAUAUAUUUAGUCCAAGUUAUUAUUUAUAUGCUAGUAACACCUAUUGUUUUAAUAAACAUAAUUAAUACAAAUUAAGGGUGUUUUUAAUGUACUAAAAAGCAUAUUAUGAUGACAUUAUCUUUAAAUGUUCUGGUAAUAUUCCAAUCAGACAUUCACACGUUUCUAGAGGAUGUGUAUACAAUGUUUGAAGGAGACAUACUAUUAAUUCUUAUAAAUAACAAACCUUAAAUAUUUUAUAAGUGUUGAUAAUCUUAACAAGCUCAGGGAUAUCACCUUUACAUCAUAGUAAUAAUGUAUGGGAUGUUACAAGUUCCCAUGAAACGUUUUAAGAACUUCAAUGAUAUGUAACAUUGCAUAGUGGGUAUUUUAAUAAGUAAUAAUUAUAUAUUAAUAAUAAGUAUACUUACUAUCAUAAAAAACACAUGUUUUCGAUGUAAAUCUGUAGAUAGUGUUUAAUUUAAAAAAAAUGGUGGAUUGUUCCAAAUCUACAUGAUCUCUUAUUUCCUUAUUUAUAUUCUGAUUACAAGUUUUAUGAUUUAUAAGUGUAAUAUAUAAAUAAAUAUAUAUAAAGGGAAAUGGUUUUAUUUACAAAAAAUUGAAUGAAUGAGGAAUAUAAAUAGUAUUUAUCAUAAAAAAUUGUAUUGAUCUAUACAUUUUUCAAAAAUUUCUAGAAAUAUAAAGUUAAAAAUGUAAAAUAUAAAAUCGAGAAUUUUAACACAAACAUAGGAUAUGUUAAUGACUACCGCAUUUUCACUGUAAAGACAAAAUAAAGUGUAUAAAGUAAAAUUUUAAAUUUUGUAGUUGAAACAUAUAUCAAAUCUAAUUCGACGAUAAAUACUUAGAAAACAUUAGAAAUUAAUGAUUUUCAUUGUCUUUAUGGAGAAUGUGGGCUAAGUAACUUUUUUAUUGAUUAAGUAGAAUUUUUUUUUUUCAAUUUUUGAGGGUAUUAUGUUUAACUAGAUACGAAUUGUAAAUAUAUGACGUAUCGUAUAAAAAAAAUUAGGUCAAGUGAGAGCUGAGAAAAUGUAUGAUAGCCACAAAAAUACCCUCUCAGCUUUGCAUCGAAGCUAUAAUUUAAAAUAUAGUAAAAUAAUUUUAAUAUGAAUAAGAAAUUACUUUUUGAAAUUUGAUAAAAAUCAAAUGAGUUAAAAAUUUAUUUUAACUUAAAAAGAAUUAAGAAAAAAUGCAAAAAAAAUUAGUGCCACAAGUAACACAAGUGUUACUGUCUCAGAAAUCGUACGUCACAUUCGUCACUUAAUAAAAAUGGUAAUUUAGUUAGUUCAAAUUUUAAAGUUAUUUUUCUCGACUAAAUAAAAUACAAAACCAAGAAUUUUAACACAAAAAUAGCAUAUUUUUGAAUAUGGUAGCCAUUUACACCACGAGGACAAUGUAAAAUUCGAAAAAUUUUUUUUCAUAUUAAAAAAUAAUACAGAGCUUUAAUUUAAUAUAUAUAUAAAAGUGUCAGUAUUUCCAAAACAUUUACAAAUAUAUUGAAAAAGGUAUACAUUCUAUAUGCAUUUUUAAGUUUUGAAUUCCUCUGUAUUAAAGGAAAUAGUCCGAUUUAAAAAAAAAUAUGUCGCAUGAAAGAGGAAUAUAAAUAGUAUUUCUCAUGAAAAAAUUUUAUUGAUCCAUAUAUUUUUCAAAAAGUUAUGGUAUUUUAAACUUAAAAACGUAAUAUAUAAA